UACAGGGGGUGCAAACGUUGCUCGGAAUCAUUGGGCGUAAAGCGCGCGCAGGCGGUUCCUUAAGUCUGAUGUGAAAGCCCCGGGCUCAACCUGGGAAUGGCAUUGGAAACUGGCUGGCUAGAGUGUGGCAGAGGGGGGUGGAAUUCCGCGUGUAGCAGUGAAAUGCGUAGAGAUGCGGAGGAACACCGAUGGCGAAGGCAGCCCCCUGGGCUGACACUGACGCUCAGGCACGAAAGCGUGGGGAGCAAACAGG
rnacentral:rRNA from 1 species